rnacentral:rRNA from 1 species
UAACAAGGUCUCCGUAGGUGAACCUGCGGAGGGAUCAUUACACAAAUAUGAAGGCGGGCUGGAAUCUCUCGGGGUUACAGCCUUGCUGAAUUAUUCACCCUUGUCUUUUGCGUACUUCUUGUUUCCUUGGUGGGUUCGCCCACCACUAGGACAAACAUAAACCUUUUGUAAUUGCAAUCAGCGUCAGUAACAAAUUAAUAAUUACAACUUUCAACAACGGAUCUCUUGGUUCUGGCAUCGAUGAAGAACGCAGCGAAAUGCGAUAAGUAGUGUGAAUUGCAGAAUUCAGUGAAUCAUCGAAUCUUUGAACGCACAUUGCGCCCUUUGGUAUUCCAAAGGGCAUGCCUGUUCGAGCGUCAUUUGUACCCUCAAGCUUUGCUUGGUGUUGGGCGUCUUGUCUCUAGCUUUGCUGGAGACUCGCCUUAAAGUAAUUGGCAGCCGGCCUACUGGUUUCGGAGCGCAGCACAAGUCGCACUCUCUAUCAGCAAAGGUCUAGCAUCCAUUAAGCCUUUUUUCAACUUUUGACCUCGGAUCAGGUAGGGAUACCCGCUGAACUUAAGCAUAUC